GAUGAACGCUGGCGGCGUGCCUAAUACAUGCAAGUCGAGCGAACUGAUUAGAAGCUUGCUUCUAUGACGUUAGCGGCGGACGGGUGAGUAACACGUGGGCAACCUGCCUGUAAGACUGGGAUAACUUUGGGAAACCGAAGCUAAUACCGGAUAGGAUCUUCUCCUUCAUGGGAGAUGAUUGAAAGAUGGUUUCGGCUAUCACUUACAGAUGGGCCCGCGGUGCAUUAGCUAGUUGGUGAGGUAACGGCUCACCAAGGCAACGAUGCAUAGCCGACCUGGGGGGGUGAUCGGCCACACUGGGACUGAGACACGGCCCAGACUCCUACGGGAGGAAGCAGUAGGGAAUCUUCCGCAAUGGACGAAAGUCUGACGGAGCAACGCCGCGUGAGUGAUGAAGGCUUUCGGGUCGUAAAACUCUGUUGUUAGGGAAGAACAAGUACAAGAGUAACUGCUUGUACCUUGACGGUACCUAACCAGAAAGCCACGGCUAACUACGUGCCAGCCGCCGCUGUAAGAC
rnacentral:rRNA from 1 species